UACGGAGGGAGCUAGCGUUGUUCGGAAUUACUGGGCGUAAAGCGCACGUAGGCGGUUACUCAAGUCAGAGGUGAAAGCCCGGGGCUCAACCCCGGACUGCCUUUGAAACUAGGUAACUAGAAUCCUGGAGAGGUGAGUGGAAUUCCGAGUGUAGAGGUGAAAUUCGUAGAUAUUCGGAAGAACACCAGUGGCGAAGGCGGCUCACUGGACAGGUAUUGACGCUGAGGUGCGAAAGCGUGGGGAGCAAACAGGAUUAGAAACCCUAGUAGU
rnacentral:rRNA from 1 species